AACUUUCAACAACGGAUCUCUUGGUUCUCGCAUCGAUGAAGAACGCAGCGAAAUGCGAUAAGUAGUGUGAAUUGCAGAAUUCAGUGAAUCAUCGAAUCUUUGAACGCACAUCGCGCCUCCUGGUAUUCCGGGAGGCAUGCCUGUUCGAGCGUCA
rnacentral:rRNA from 1 species